UUCUCUGCUCGCUUUCUCUGCUCGCUUUCUCAGCUCUCUUGACGCAGCACAGCGGGUGUUGAAUGUAUGGUCAGUGCUAAUCGCAACUGACUUAAUAUGUAAACAAACUUGUUUAGCUGGCUUAUUUACUGUAAUCUUCCACUGGCAGAUGUGAAGCAGAAUCAGAAGCGGCUGGUGGAGCAGCUGACGACCAUUCUGAUGGGCUCUCCAGGCCCCUCCACACGCUGGUUGUUGGCUCUGCUCUACCGGGUAGGUGACUCCUUCACCUCCAGCCUCACUGUGGACCAUUGCAAUGACAUCAUCCACAGCAAGGACGACUCACCCAGCUUCCUGCCCUCUCGACUGGCGGCUGUGGCCUGACUGGGUGCAAUGUAUGAAUAGUUGGGCCGCCUGCUCAUCGACUCCUUUAAAGAGACCAUGGCGAAUCUUCUGAAAGCCUUGAAGGGAGCAGAGUCUCAAGGGCGCUAUGAGAUCAUGCUAUGUAUAGAGAAGAUUCUGAAAGGUUUGGGGGUGAGCGCAGUGCCCUGUCACAGAGACAUCUUCAAAGCCACCCGCACCUGCCUCACUGACCGUUCUAUGGCUGUUCGCUGUGCUGCCGCCAAGACUGCUGGGCACCUUGUUACUCUCUUCGCUCGAGCCUAAACAAGCCAUAGCCCCCAGGCCAGGCUCCAGGCGGAGCUGUCUGGAAGAGGUGAUGAAUCUGGUGUCCAGUGGCUUCUUACGAGGGUGUGCAGGCUUCCUGCAUGCCAGUGGGGAUCUACUGAAAGGCACGAACUCCGUGAGCCGAGAUGUGCGCGUGGGCAUCACACAGGUUGCUUUCUAUCUCUGACCUUGAACCUCAUAUUCAGUCAGAGGAAUAUAUGACAGCAAGACACUGUUAGUAGCAUGAUAGUAAAAUGUCUAAAGAGUGUCAUGUCAUGUUAAUUGUACAACCCCAAUUCCAACGAAGUUGGGACGUUGUGUAAAACAUAAAUAAAAUUUUUUCAUUUGACAAA